GCUUGUUUUCUUGUCAUUUGACAUCUUCGUUCAAAUGUAAAACAUUUUUCACAACCAAAAUUUCAAAACAAAUUAUGUAAUAAAUUGUCUUUGUUUACUGAAAAAUAUAAGCAAAAGAAAGCCAGCUGAAUUGUGGAAUGUAUAGCGUUAAGGAAGAAGAAAGUUAUGAGAUAGUGUAGAACAGUCACCAUGCCAGGUAGCCCAUUUUUAUUCUGUUUCUGCCAGAAACCACUUAGCUUCUUAGAAAUGAAGAACCUGGUGCAGAGUGGCUCAUGCCUAUAAUCCCAACAUUUUGGGGGGUCAAAGUGGGCAGAUUGCUUGAGCCCAGAAGUUUGAGACCAGCCUGGCCAACAUGGCAAAACCCUGUCUCUGGCCAACAUGGCAAAACCCUGUCUCUAUCAAAAAACAAACAAACAAACAAAAAAUUGCCUGGCACGGUGGCACGCACCUGUAGUCUCAGCUACUUGGAAGACUGAGGUAGGGGAAUCAUCUGAGCAUGGGACGUCAAGGCUGCAUGAAGAGCUGUGGCUGCACCACCAAACUCCAGCCUGGGUGACAGAGUGAGACCCUAUCAAAAAAAAAAAAAAAAAAAGAAAGAAAGAAAGAAAAGAAAAGAAAUGAAGAUUCAUGAUUUGAGCAUGUAGAGAUGGGAAUGGAACAGGUGACACUAAUUUAUUCUUUGCCUUCUUUGCAACUUUGGUACUUUAGACGGUAGCUGAUUUUCAAGAGUGAUGUGGGAUUUCAAGAGUUAUAGAGGAUUUUGCAAUUAACUAUUAGGUAGACAUAGACCUUUAUUAUAUGUUUUAUUUUUCGAUGCUCCAGAGG
rnacentral:lncRNA from 10 species